GAUGAAGAACGUAGCGAAAUGCGAUAAGUAAUGUGAAUUGCAGAAUUCAGUGAAUCAUCGAAUCUUUGAACGCACAUUGCGCCCGCCAGUAUUCUGACGGGCAUGCCUGUUCGAGCGUCAUUUCAACCCUCAAGCCCCCGGGCUUGGUGUUGGGGAUCGGCGUGCCCUCGCGGCGCGCCGUCCCCUAAAUCUAGUGGCGGUCUCGCUGUAGCUUCCUCUGCGUAGUAGCAACACUCGCACUGGAUCGCAGCGCGGCCACGCCGUUAAACCCCCCACUUCUGAAAGUUUGACCUCGGAUCAGGUAGGAAUACCCGCUGAACUUAAGCAUAUCAAUAAGCGGAGGA
rnacentral:misc_RNA from 1 species